rnacentral:misc_RNA from 1 species
AACGCACCUUGCGCUCCUUGGUAUUCCGAGGAGCAUGCCUGUUUGAGCGUCAUUAAAUUCUCAACCUCACCUGGUUUCUAACUUGUGUGAUGGCUUGGAUUUGGGAGUUUUGCAGGCUGCAGUUUACUGCGGUUCUGCUCUCCUUAAAUGUAUUAGCAGGUCUUUUACCUCUAUCCCAACAGUGUGAUAAUCUAUCUACGCUGCUGGUUUGGAGACCCUUUAUUGGGGGACUAGCUUCUAACCGUCUGCAAGGACAAAAUGACAAAUCUUGACCUCAAAUCAGGUAGGACUACCCGCUGAACUUAA